AUCCGCAGCUACCUCCACACACCAGGGGAUUUCCUCUCCCAGGAGGAGGCCUCCAACAUGGCGCCCUCCUCCCCGAGCUCCACGCUGUCGGAGGAAUACCCGCGCACUGACAGCAGCCGGCAAGCCCCACAGACACCAGACUGGUACACACUGUUCACGUCCCUGCCGAAAAAGGAGGACUUCCAGACACUGCUGGAUGAGGUAAAAGCCACCCUGCGCACAGAGAUCUCAGCCCUAGGCACCUCACUCACAGCGCUUGAGACAAG